rnacentral:rRNA from 1 species
UACGUAGGGGGCAAGCGUUGUCCGGAAUCAUUGGGCGUAAAGCGCGUGUAGGCGGCUUGGUAAGUCCGCUCUGAAAGCCCGGGGCUCAACCCCGGGAGGCGGGUGGAUCCUGCUGGGCUCGAGUCCGGAAGAGGAGUGUGGAAUUCCUGGUGUAGCGGUGAAAUGCGCAGAUAUCAGGAGGAACACCAAUGGCGAAGGCAGCACUCUGGGACGGUACUGACGCUGAGACGCGAAAGCGUGGGGAGCAAAUAGG